rnacentral:lncRNA from 1 species
CCAGUCCAGUGUUAACAAUAAAUAAUCUUUGCCUAUCACUGAGUCUUGUGAUGAAACCUCCAACCUGUUUUGACCUGAACAACGUUGGAUGGGAAAACACCGACAGGGAAAGUGCAACAACUAUCAAUGCUGAUCGCAGCGGAACGUUUGUAGUUUGGACUAAAGACUGUGAAAGUAUCAUCGAUUACGCCGAUAAAUUUCGAAGGAAAGAAUCGGAACUCCACUAUAAAUCAAGGUAUUUGCCCUCCAUUGUCGGGUGCACUUUGGUUAUACUCUCUCUCUCAAUAAAGAUUCCAAGUUU